AGAGACAGCAGUAGCCGCGGGAAAACGGAGGGUGCAAGCGUUAAUCGGAAUUACUGGGCGUAAAGCGCACGCAGGCGGUCUGACAAGUCAGAUGUGAAAUCCCCGGGCUUAACCUGGGAACUGCAUUUGAAACUGUCAGGCUGGAGUCUUGUAGAGGGGGGUGGAAUUCCAGGUGUAGCGGUGAAAUGCGUAGAGAUCUGGAGGAAUACCGGUGGCGAAGGCGGCCCCCUGGACAAAGACUGACGCUCAGGUGCGAAAGCGUGGGGAGCAAACAGGAUUAGAUACCCCUGUAGUCCCUGUCUCUUAUAC
rnacentral:rRNA from 1 species